rnacentral:tRNA from 1 species
GAAGGUAUAGCUCAGUGGUAGAGCGCAUGCUUAGCAUUCACGAGGUCCUGGGUUCAAUCCUCAGUACCUCUA